AGUGAACGCUGGCGGUAGGCCUAACACAUGCAAGUCGAACGGCAGCACAGUAAGAGCUUGCUCUUACGGGUGGCGAGUGGCGGACGGGUGAGGAAUACAUCGGAAUCUACUUUUUCGUGGGGGAUAACGUAGGGAAACUUACGCUAAUACCGCAUACGACCUACGGGUGAAAGCAGGGGAUCUUCGGACCUUGCGCGAUUGAAUGAGCCGAUGUCGGAUUAGCUAGUUGGCGGGGUAAAGGCCCACCAAGGCGACGAUCCGUAGCUGGUCUGAGAGGAUGAUCAGCCACACUGGAACGGAGACACGGUCCAGACUCCUACGGGAGGCAGCAGUGGGGAAUAUUGGACAAUGGGCGCAAGCCUGAUUCAGCCAUACCGCGUGGGUGAAGAAGGCCUUCGGGUUGUAAAGCCCUUUUGUUGGGAAAGAAAAGCAGCAGGUUAAUACCCCGCUGUUCUGACGGUACCCAAAGAAUAAGCACCGGCUAACUUCGUG
rnacentral:rRNA from 1 species